CAUUCCUCUGUUGCUCUGCCAAAGAUCAGACCUGUAGUCACGGUUGUUUUUCAGAUUGCAUCUUAACGUCAGGCUCGAUGGUCAAACGAAUUGUUUUGUGCGCGGAGUCAUCACUGUGAUCUCUUGUGAGAGAAAGAGGAGCGUUGCACUCGGACUCAUCUGCUUCAGCAUCAAGAUAUCCGAACUCAGAGCCUUCUUUGAUUGGAGAUCAGGCCCCCCACUUAGUGUAUUUGACAAGCUGAGUUUGACACUCUGUAUCUCUGAGUGUCAGUUUGUCAAAUACCCCAAGUGAGGUGUCACUUGACUACAAAUGUGUCCAAACCUGUGCUACUCCACAGCCUGAACAGCCAGCUCCUCAGUGUGCUCCCUCGCACCAACGACGCUGAAAAGCACCAUGUUUAUUGUGUUUAGUCAUGUAUAAUCUGUUUAACUGCAAUUUAUUUACUAAAUCACAUGUAACUUACCCUCAUGCAUAUCAAAGUUUUAAUGAACAUAAAUAUUAUCUAUGCUUUCAGAAUCCAAAAAGGGUGAACGAAAGAACCAACAAAGGUUUCAAAGAGAUUUCUUUUAAUAAAAAUGAGGUGUGCUAUUGGACUUAUUGACCAAAAAAAACUAACCUCUUGAACCCAA